GCCUGCCGUUGGGAUCAGUAUCUGCACGCUACACCACGAAACAGAUGUAGUCAUUAUUUAUCAGUUUUACAGUUUAGGGAGAUUUUCUGGUAGGUAGUGGUUUCCCCUCACAUCCAUCCUCAGAGGAACUUUGGAGGAGUCUCCCUUUCUGAAACAGCUUUCGGAUGCUCUUCUGUGGACACACGCUGACCACACCUGAAACACAAGGCCUUUCUCAAUCUAGUGAGCUCUAGAGUGAUUGACUGACUUUACACAGCCACCAGGAAAGCUCCCAGGGUUUUUCUCCAGUCUGUUUGGAAAUAGAUGUGUUUACGAAGGAUGAAAUAUUUCAGGAAUGAAAUCAUCGCUGGAUUUACCAAAGUUUGCGCGAUCUGAAGUUUGCAGUGGAUUGUGGGGGAACACCAUGAGGAGGCUUUUUGACCUGGAUAUGAAGCUGAAGAUCUAGUUCAACCUCCACGUAUCCCAAUGAUCCUGGAGACUGAACACCUGCUUCCCUCUGUUCUUCCUGUCAUCCAACACCUCGGCGUUACACCUGAAAUUAGAGCACACACACACAACACACACACACACACGCGCGCGCUGGUGUCCUCCUCCAGGCAUGUGCUCCGUUCAGCCGUGUAGAGGUGAUUUUUCAUUUUGACAGAUCAUCAGCUUUUCGUUCAUGAGAGAUGUGGAGAUACUGGUUUGCCGAGCGCGACCGUUCACUUUUGACCUCUUUAACCAGUGAGAAGCAGGCCUCUGCUUUAGAUCAGCUCAUGGAUCAUGAACACUUCGCUUAUUCCAAAAGCAUCCUGAACAUUUCUGCUGCGUGGCUGAAGGAGUGGCACAGUUUCUGUCCCAUCAUGCAUCUGUAAGCAUCUGUGUCCAUCCACCUGUGUUCAAAUAGACCUGCUUCUGACCUUGUAACUGACAGACAUCGAGUGAUAAGUCCAUUACAGGAUGCUGGAAAACACUUGAUGUGUCUCGUAUGGAAUGAAGGAUUACCAACAGCAGUCUGAAGAGACAAACAGCCUGAUCAAUGUUUUAACACAACGUCCCGUCUCAAAGACCAAACCAGUUCUACUGAUUCAACCUCCAACUGUGAUACUGAUUUCACACCGAUUCAUUU